UACGGAGGGUGCAAGCGUUAUCCGGAUUCACUGGGUUUAAAGGGUGCGUAGGCGGGCAGGUAAGUCAGUGGUGAAAUCUCCGAGCUUAACUCGGAAACUGCCGUUGAUACUAUUUGUCUUGAAUAUUGUGGAGGUAAGCGGAAUAUGUCAUGUAGCGGUGAAAUGCUUAGAUAUGACAUAGAACACCAAUUGCGAAAGGCAGCUUACUACACAACGAUUGACGCUGAGGCACGAAAGCGUGGGGAUCAAACAGG
rnacentral:rRNA from 1 species